rnacentral:rRNA from 1 species
AUAAGAGGUCCAGCCUGCCCAGUGAAAUUAUUCAACGGCCGCGGUAUCCUAACCGUGCGAAGGUAGCGUAAUCACUUGUUCUUUAAAUGAGGACUAGUAUGAAUGGCAUCACGAGGGUUUUACUGUCUCCUUUUUUAAAUCAGUGAAACUAAUCUCCCCGUGAAGAAGCGGGGAUUUUGUUAUAAGACGAGAAGACCCUAUGGAGCUUAAAACAAACAACAUUUGCUGCACAUAAUACUUUUAUCUUCAAGAAGUAUAGCAUUAUGAUAUUUAGUUUUUGAUUGGGGUGAUCACGGAGCAAAAUAAAACCUCCACGCCGAAAGGGUUUACACCCUGAGCAAAAAGCUACAGCUUUAAGCACUAAAAAAUUAACGUAUUUGACCCAAUAUUUUGAUCAACGAACCAAGUUACCCUAGGGAUAACAGCGCAAUCCACUUCAAGAGCUCCUAUCGACAAGUGGGUUUACGACCUCGAUGUUGGAUCAGGGUGUCCUAGUGGUGCAGCCGCUACUAAUGGUUCGUUUGUUCAACGAUUAAAACCCUACGUGA